rnacentral:lncRNA from 10 species
GCUUUUUAAAAUAAUUUAUUACUUUCCUUUUAUCCACUUAGAUAUGAAUUUAAUAAAUAACCCUUAUUGGAAGAUUCAAAUAACUUUUCAAAAAAGGAACUUUAAUACAACAUACGUAAGUGAAUUUAGUUGCCAUGGAAGUUGAUUGUAGAUUCUUUUGAUCAUAUUUUAUUCAUCUUAUUUUUUCCCCUCCAGCAUCUCUUGGCAAAAGAAAUUAGUGGAGAGAUUUUAACGGUCUUUCGGGUCAUUGGUUGUUUUUCCAAACUGGAAGGUUAUGUUGGAUGCACUGAUGUGGUGGGUGAGCAGUCCCAGGGAUGUCUGCUUAAUGACUGAGAGCACUGGGGUCCUUAGGAAGAAAGUCUGUGAGGGUCUCUGACUGUCUGCAGACACUUUCUCCACUUUCUCCUCAUCUGUUCUGCUGUGUCUCCUUACUGGAGUAUGAUUACAGAUGUAAAAUCCCUGUAAAGUGACCAGCAGAGCAGCACUGAUGCAGAUGAAGGUGUGUGUGGAGGCAGCUGGUCCCAGGAGUCUGGCUGUGCUCUGCACCUCUGGACACAGUAGGCGUCAACUCAAUGCACAUUUAUUAGUUGAAGGAAUAAGGGAGGGCACUGGUGAGUGAGGGAGCUCCCAGGGCCUCCUGCCCCUUUCAGAUGGUGAGAUAGUCAUUCUGAAGUCAAGGAUGUGUGUUCUGAUGCAGAUGCAAACUCUACAGUAGAAGCUGGGGCAGGGAGAGCUCUGCAGAGAUGGUGGAAGGAGUGGCUGUUCCAGGGCUGUGGUGACUGCGGGGUGGGGUCUGCAGAGAUGGUGGAGGGAGUGGCUGUUCCAGGGCUGUGGUGACUGGGGGUGGGGUCUGCAGAGAUGGUGGAGGGAGUGGCUGUUCCAGGGCUGUGGUGACUCAGGGGUGGGGUCUGCAGAGAUGGUGGAGGGAGUGGCUGUUCCAGGGCUGUGCUGACUGGGGGGUGGGGUCUAUAGGGAUGGUGGGGGGCUGUUCCAGGCCUGUGGUGACUGAGGACUUGGCUCUAUAGAGAUGGUGGGGGCUAUUCCAGGGCUGUGGUGACUGGGGGUGGGGUGGGGUUGCAGAGACGGUGGGGGCCUGUUCCAGGGCUGUGGUGAUGGGGGUGUGGGCUCUAUGGGGAUGGUGGGGCUGUUCCAGGGCUGUGGUGAUUCGGGGCUGGGCUCUGCUCUGUAGAGAUGGUAGAGGGGGCUGUUCCAGGGCCAUGGUGGCUUGGGGGUGGGGUCUAUAGAGAUGAUGGGGGGUUGUUUUAGGGCUGUGGUGAUGGGGGGAUGGGCACUAGAGAGAUGGUGGAGGGAGUGGCUGUUCCAGGGCUGUGGUGACUUGGGGGUGGGGUCUGUAGAGAUGGUAGAGGGUUGGAUGUUCCAGGGGUGUGGCAAUGGGGGGAUGGGGUUGUGGAGAUGAUGGAAGAUAUUCCAGGGCUGUGGUGAUGGGUGGGGGUCGGGUUGUGGAGAUGGUGGGGCCUGUUCCAGGGCUGUGGUGAUGGAGGUGGGGUGGGGUUGUGGAGAUGCUGAGGGGCUGUUUCAGGGCUGUGAUGGAGAAAGGUGGGGUCUGUGGAGAUGGUGGGGCCUGUUUCAGGGUUGUGAUGGCGGGGGGUGGGGUCUGUGGAGAUGAUGGGGUUGUUUCAGGCUGUGAUGAUAGAGACAGGGUGGGGUUAUGGAGAUGGUGGGGGCUGUUUCAGGGCUGUGGUGGUUGUGGGAGCCCUGCAGAGAUGAUGGAGGAUGUUCCAGGGCUGUGAUGGGAGACAGAGUUUGGGCUCAGGGCCACGCACCCCUGGGGAUGAAUCCAGCUCUUUCCUUGCCUACUGGGUUACCAGGGCAGGUCCUUUUGUGUCUGGUCACAAAGUGAAAUUCCCCUUCUUGGAGAAAACUCCUCUGGGUCCUCCCACUGCCCCCAUAGGAGACUCUUGUGUGUGGAAGCUGCUGCUCAUGCACUAGGUCCCUUGGGCUGGAGACGGGGAGGCCGUGGGCUGGAGGGGACUUGGGCCACUGCACUGGGAUGAGGCCACCUCACCAGCUGGUUCUCAGCUCUUUUGUUUUGCAUGACAUUUCUAUUGAAAAUAGAUAAUAAAAUUCCUAGACUAAUCCUUAAAUUGUUUCUUUCCAUCUCUGCCUUCCUUUUCUUUGUUUUGUUUUCUAUUAUCUGGGUUGUUUUCUCCAUCUCUAUUCCCCAAUUAAG